rnacentral:rRNA from 1 species
UACGUAGGGCGCAAGCGUUGUCCGGAUUUAUUGGGCGUAAAGAGCGUGUAGGCGGCCCGGUAAGUCCGCUGUGAAAGUCGGGGGCUCAACCCUCGAAUGCCGGUGGAUACUGUCGGGCUAGAGUGCGGAAGAGGCGAGUGGAAUUCCUGGUGUAGCGGUGAAAUGCGCAGAUAUCAGGAGGAACACCGAUUGCGAAGGCAGCUCGCUGGGACGUAACUGACGCUGAGACGCGAAAGCGUGGGGAGCGAACAGG